rnacentral:misc_RNA from 1 species
GAUGAAGACGCAGCGAAAUGCGAUAAGUAAUGUGAAUUGCAGAAUUCAGUGAAUCAUCGAAUCUUUGAACGCACAUUGCGCCCGCCAGUAUUCUGGCGGGCAUGCCUGUUCGAGCGUCAUUUCAACCAUCAAGCCCCCGGCUUGUGUUGGGGACCUGCGGCUGCCGCAGGCCCUGAAAACCAGUGGCGGGCUCGCUAGUCACUCCGAGCGUAGUAAUACAUCUCGCUCAGGGCGUGCUGCGGGUUCCGGCCGUUAAAAAGCCUUAUUUACCCAAGGUUGACCUCGGAUCAGGUAGGAAGACCCGCUGAACUUAAGCAUAUCAAUAAGCGGAGGA